UACGAGGGGGGCAAAUGUUGUUCGGAAUCACUGGGCGUAAAGGGAGCGUAGGCGGGCUUCUAAGUUAGGUGUUUAAUCCCAGGGCCCAACCCUGGUCGUGCACUUAAAACUGGGAGUCUUGAAUAGUGGAGAGGUCAGUGGAAUUGGGGGUGUAGCGGUGGAAUGCGUAGAGAUCCCCAAGAACACCAGCUGCGAAGGCGGCUGACUGGACACAUAUUGACGCUGAGGCUCGAAAGCAUGGGGAGCAAACAGG
rnacentral:rRNA from 1 species